rnacentral:rRNA from 1 species
UUGGAGGGCAAGUCUGGUGCCAGCAGCCGCGGUAAUUCCAGCUCCAAUAGCGUAUAUUAAAGUUGUUGCAGUUAAAAAGCUCGUAGUUGUAUUUCGGGAUUGACGUAAUGGUCGUGCCUUAAAGGGUAUGAACUGUUACUGUUGAUUUCUCACCUUCUGGAGAAACUUGAUGUCCUUAAUUGGGUGUCUUGCGGAUCCAGGACCUUUACCUUGAAAAAAUUAGAGUGUUUAAAGCAGGCAUUUUUGCUCGAAUACAUUAGCAUGGAAUAAUAGAAUAGGACGGCAUGGUUCUAUUUUGUUGGUUUCUAGGAUCACCGUAAUGAUUAAUAGGGGUAGUUGGGGGCAUUAGUAUUCAAUUGUCAGAGGUGAAAUUCUUGGAUUUACUGAAGACUAACUACUGCGAAAGCAUUUGCCAAGGAUGUUUUCAUUAAUCAAGAACGAAAGUUAGGGGAUCGAAGACGAUCAGAUACCGUCGUAGUCUUAACCAUAAACUAUGCCGACUAGGAAUCAGACGAUGUUAAUUUUUCUAAUGACUCGUUUGGCACCUUACGGAAACCAAAGUGUUUGGGUUC